AACGCUUCUUUUUCCACCGGAGCUUGCUCCACCGGAAAAAGAGGAGUGGCGAACGGGUGAGUAACACGUGGGUAACCUGCCCAUCAGAAGGGGAUAACACUUGGAAACAGGUGCUAAUACCGUAUAACAAUCGAAACCGCAUGGUUUUGAUUUGAAAGGCGCUUUCGGGUGUCGCUGAUGGAUGGACCCGCGGUGCAUUAGCUAGUUGGUGAGGUAACGGCUCACCAAGGCCACGAUGCAUAGCCGACCUGAGAGGGUGAUCGGCCACAUUGGGACUGAGACACGGCCCAAACUCCUACGGGAGGCAGCAGUAGGGAAUCUUCGGCAAUGGACGAAAGUCUGACCGAGCAACGCCGCGUGAGUGAAGAAGGUUUUCGGAUCGUAAAACUCUGUUGUUAGAGAAGAACAAGGAUGAGAGUAACUGUUCAUCCCUUGACGGUAUCUAACCAGAAAGCCACGGCUAACUACGUGCCAGCAGCCGCGGUAAUACGUAGGUGGCAAGCGUUGUCCGGAUUUAUUGGGCGUAAAGCGAGCGCAGGCGGUUUCUUAAGUCUGAUGUGAAAGCCCCCGGCUCAACCGGGGAGGGUCAUUGGAAACUGGGAGACUUGAGUGCAGAAGAGGAGAGUGGAAUUCCAUGUGUAGCGGUGAAAUGCGUAGAUAUAUGGAGGAACACCAGUGGCGAAAGCGGCUCUCUGGUCUGUAACUGACGCUGAGGCUCGAAAGCGUGGGGAGCAAACAGGAUUAGAUACCCUGGUAGUCCACGCCGUAAACGAUGAGUGCUAAGUGUUGGAGGGUUUCCGCCCUUCAUUGCUGCAGCUAACGCAAUAAGCACUCCGCCAGGGGAGUACGACCGCAAGGUUGAAACUCAGNG
rnacentral:rRNA from 1 species